rnacentral:tRNA from 1 species
GUGAAAGUAGUUUAAUAGAAUGUAAGGUUGUCAUCUUUACGGUGCCGGAAUAGGUCUUUCACU